AUGAGAGAUCCACUCCUAUCACCCUAAAAGCUCCCAUUAAGGACCGGGAUCCUGACUGCUCUGACUCAGUCUCCGUCUACCUCAUGGACACCUGGCAGUCGGUCAUCAUCGGUUUUGCUGAAUCAGCAGCAACAUUGGGGGUAACAAUUGUGUCUCCUGGUUCCACCAGAGACAGAGUAGAGACCCACACAGCUGAAGUGUGGGGUCAAAUAUUAAAACUAAGAGACAUAAGAUUGAUUCUCAGGCUCCAAGUCUGACAAGUGAGCUUCUUUGAGACUCCCUGGGAUCCCAGCAGUGACACUGAUCACUGUUGCUGUUCCACACAUCCCAAGUGAUGAGGA